rnacentral:rRNA from 1 species
CAACGAAUAUUCCGCAAUGGGCGCAAGCCUGACGGAGCGACGCCGCGUGGGGGAUGAAGUCCUUCGGGAUGUAAACUCUGAUAGUGCGCCAGGAAGCAAGCCGGCCUAAUACGCCGGUAAGUUGACCAGCGUACGAAAGGGGCGGCUAACUCCGUGCCAGCAGCCGCGGUAAGACGGAGGCCCCGAGCGUUGUUCGGAAUCACUGGGUUUAAAGCGCGUGUAGGCGGAGUGGCAAGUACCGUGGGAAAUCCCCGGCUUCAACCCGGGAACGGCUUGG